CGCCAGCCACCACGCCCAGCUAAUUUUUGCAUUUUUAUUAGAGACGGGGUUUCACCGUGUUAGCCAGGAUGGUCUCUAUCUCCUGACCUCGUGAUCCACCUACUUCAGCCUCCCAAAGUGCUGGGAUUACAGGUGUGAGCCACCGCGCCCUGACUGGGGGGCAUUUCUGACUGGGAGACUGUCAGGGCUCUGCGUGGCCAUCUGCUGGGCUCAAGGAGGUCAGGCGGCCGGUUCGAGCAGGAGCAUGUGAGGGACGCCUACUCGGCUUGGAGAUGUGGACUCCGGAGCCUGCCGCAGAGCAUGGAAUGGGAAACUGGCGUGGGUGAGGUCAUCUCAGGGACGCUGGGGACAGGAUGGAGCUUCAGGAGGGAGGAGGGGCCGGGAAGCGGAGACCAGAGACACAGGAGUGCCUCCUGGAAGCCUCAAGAAGGGAGGUCCCACCAGGAAGGAGUCGUCCCUGGGUUGACUAAGAGGAGGCCGAGCAGUGUCCCUUGGAGCUGACACCGUGGAGGCCACGUGACCUGCACAGGCCCUGGUCCCCCCCACACUCAGGCUAAGUGCCCAGGCACAGGCCGGAUCCCUCCCAGCCCGUGUGUGGCCACAGCCUCAGGGCCCCUUGCUGGAACAGCCUGUUCCCCCAGCCCCAGCCUCCAGAGAGUUUAGGGAACCCCCACCCUGUGCCUUCUGGGCCCAUGGGCAUUCCUGGCGGGUGGAUCCCCUGAGGCCUCCCAGCCUGCACUGGAGGAGCCCUGCCCCAUCCCGCUCCUGGGAGACCCCCCCCAAGCACCGACCCUGGGAGCAGAGAGUCCCCCUCACCCUGUGCCUCCCCAGGACACACACAUAGCUGGGUCUGGGCCUUGGUGUCCUUGACUGUGCAACAGAUGGCCACAGACUGGGCGCUUCAAUGGCAGGAAGCUCUUUUCUUAUGGAUUGAGAGGCCAGAAGCUGGCCACCGACGUGCGGUGGUGUGGAUCCUUCUGGAGGCUCUGCGGGGAGGCCUGUCGAGGCCUCUGUCCCAGCUUCAGGUGGUCUCCAAUCUCUGCCUCACUCUUUUUUUGUAUACAUAUUCUUUCUAAAAUUGUAUAUUGUCAGGUGCGAAACUGAAUGAAGUAUUUCAGUAACUUGCCUGGUAACAAGACCCAGGUUUGAAUUUGUCCAUUUGACUUCAUAUAUUCAAAUGCCCUGCAAGCAAGCUAGCACUUACCCUCGAAAUCAGCACCAUUUUCAAUUUUUCCUUUUUUUGGUGGGUGAGUGUUCUUCUCACUAGGAGUUGACAGAUGAAAGCUGCCGGCGGGCGGUGCGGUCCCUCACUGUAUACACGCCCCAUAACUUCAGGCUCCUAAAAUUUUAUCUGGUUAUUUUUUGAAUUGUGGUUAUAUAUAUAAUCUACCAUUUUAACAAUUUUUAAGUGCACG
rnacentral:lncRNA from 1 species